AUUUCCGUAGUGUAGUGGUUAUCACAUUCGCCUCACACGCGAAAGGUCCCUGGUUCAAAACUGGGCGGAAACA